GAUGAACGCUGGCGGCGUGCCUAAUACAUGCAAGUCGAGCGAACGGACGAGAAGCUUGCUUCUCUGAUGUUAGCGGCGGACGGGUGAGUAACACGUGGAUAACCUACCUAUAAGACUGGGAUAACUUCGGGAAACCGGAGCUAAUACCGGAUAAUAUUUUGAACCGCAUGGUUCAAAAGUGAAAGACGGUCUUGCUGUCACUUAUAGAUGGAUCCGCGCUGCAUUAGCUAGUUGGUAAGGUAACGGCUUACCAAGGCAACGAUGCAUAGCCGACCUGAGAGGGUGAUCGGCCACACUGGAACUGAGACACGGUCCAGACUCCUACGGGAGGCAGCAGUAGGGAAUCUUCCGCAAUGGGCGAAAGCCUGACGGAGCAACGCCGCGUGAGUGAUGAAGGUCUUCGGAUCGUAAAACUCUGUUAUUAGGGAAGAACAUAUGUGUAAGUAACUGUGCACAUCUUGACGGUACCUAAUCAGAAAGCCACGGCUAACUACGUGCCAGCAGCCGCGGUAAUACGUAGGUGGCAAGCGUUAUCCGGAAUUAUUGGGCGUAAAGCGCGCGUAGGCGGUUUUUUAAGUCUGAUGUGAAAGCCCACGGCUCAACCGUGGAGGGUCAUUGGAAACUGGAAAACUUGAGUGCAGAAGAGGAAAGUGGAAUUCCAUGUGUAGCGGUGAAAUGCGCAGAGAUAUGGAGGAACACCAGUGGCGAAGGCGACUUUCUGGUCUGUAACUGACGCUGAUGUGCGAAAGCGUGGGGAUCAAACAGGAUUAGAUACCCUGGUAGUCCACGCCGUAAACGAUGAGUGCUAAGUGUUAGGGGGUUUCCGCCCCUUAGUGCUGCAGCUAACGCAUUAAGCACUCCGCCUGGGGAGUACGACCGCAAGGUUGAAACUCAAAGGAAUUGACGGGGACCCGCACAAGCGGUGGAGCAUGUGGUUUAACUCGAAGCAACGCGAAGAACCUUACCAAAUCUUGACAUCCUUUGACAACUCUAGAGAUAGAGCUUUCCCCUUCGGGGGACAAAGUGACAGGUGGUGCAUGGUUGUCGUCAGCUCGUGUCGUGAGAUGUUGGGUUAAGUCCCGCAACGAGCGCAACCCUUAAGCUUAGUUGCCAUCAUUAAGUUGGGCACUCUAAGUUGACUGCCGGUGACAAACCGGAGGAAGGUGGGGAUGACGUCAAAUCAUCAUGCCCCUUAUGAUUUGGGCUACACACGUGCUACAAUGGACAAUACAAAGGGCAGCGAAACCGCGAGGUCAAGCAAAUCCCAUAAAGUUGUUCUCAGUUCGGAUUGUAGUCUGCAACUCGACUACAUGAAGCUGGAAUCGCUAGUAAUCGUAGAUCAGCAUGCUACGGUGAAUACGUUCCCGGGUCU
rnacentral:rRNA from 1 species